rnacentral:misc_RNA from 1 species
AAUUCUCAAACCUUCAUUGGUUUUGUAAACUUUUGAAGGCUUUGGAUGUGGGGGCUGCUGGAAUCUAACGAAUUCAGCUCUCCUUAAAUGCAUUAGUGGUUACUGUUCCCCACUUUGAUGUGAUAAUUAUCUACAUCUUGUAAGUCGGGGAUGUUAAGUGUAGCUGCUUUCUAACCGCCCGAGUUGCUUUGGACAAUUUGAACC